rnacentral:rRNA from 1 species
CCUACGGGAGGCUGCAGUGGGGAAUAUUGGACAAUGGGGGCAACCCUGAUCCAGCCAUGCCGCGUGUGUGAAGAAGGCCCUCGGGUUGUAAAGCACUUUCAGUGAGGAAGAACGCCUGGUGGUUAAUACCCAUCAGGAAAGACAUCACUCACAGAAGAAGCACCGGCUAACUCCGUGCCAGCAGCCGCGGUAAUACGGAGGGUGCGAGCGUUAAUCGGAAUUACUGGGCGUAAAGCGCGCGUAGGUGGCUUGAUAAGCCGGUUGUGAAAGCGCCGGGCUCAACCUGGGAACGGCAUCCGGAACUGUCAAGCUAGAGUGCAGGAGAGGAAAGUAGAAUUCCCGGUGUAGCGGUGAAAUGCGUAGAGAUCGGGAGGAAUACCAGUGGCGAAGGCGGCCUUCUGGACUGACACUGACACUGAGGUGCGAAAGCGUGGGUAGCAAACAGGAUUAGAUACCCCGGUAGUC